rnacentral:rRNA from 1 species
UACGAAGGGGGCUAGCGUUGCUCGGAAUUACUGGGCGUAAAGGGAGCGUAGGCGGACUGUUAAGUUAGAGGUGAAAGCCCAGGGCUCAACCUUGGAAUUGCCUUUGAUACUGGCAGUCUUGAGUACGGAAGAGGUAUGUGGAACUCCGAGUGUAGAGGUGAAAUUCGUAGAUAUUCGGAAGAACACCAGUGGCGAAGGCGGCUCACUGGACCGGCAUUGACGCUGAGGUGCGAAAGCGUGGGGAGCAAACAGGAUUAGAAACCCGUAC